rnacentral:lncRNA from 1 species
CUGGCCACUCCUGGUUAAAUUCCUUGGCAGACUUUGCUUUGUAAUGAGUUCUUGAUAGCGCUUCAAAAUGCACGAGUUGGAUGUGGCUACUAUCUGUCGGUCAAGCUGGUGCAGAACAAAGCCAGUAUGCACCACGUAGCACAGCCAAACAGGAGCAUUUGAGCACAAGCGCGCACUCUAGCCCUGUCGUGCACAAAGCAAAUGCUGCAAUCGCAUGUAGCUGCUGUUUGCUACGUAGCGUAGAUUCCGCGGCAGCCGCGGGGUGCCGCGACGAGUCCACUGGUUGAGCACACUGCAGCUCAAUGAGGACAUCUGCGUUUUGCAUGUCGUUAGCACCAAAAUCUGAAAUAGUGCCGACUGUGCGAACAUCCAAAAUCAAAUUUGAAACUGCGCCCCAUGGUGAGGUCCAGUAGCGGAACGUUGUGGUCACACCCCGCUCCGCUGUAGCCUUCGCAAUGCAAAUAAUUGAAGAAGGAGUGGAAGCACCGCAAACGCUAUGUUUGAUUGCCAAUAACUCCGCUUUUGCUGAACACAUUGAAUAACUUUUGGCAGCAAAGUAUUUCUGAAAUAGUCUAAUUUAACUUCAAAUGCAUUUCUCGACUUCAAUAAAAAGUGGUUAAGGGCCACUUUAAGCCCUUGAAUCCGAUCGUCACAAGUAGCAUCAGGUCAUUUAACAACCAUGACCACCUGUUAUAUUUUUGAAGCACCAAAAAGACAGCUCCCUCAUUACAGUCCCUGUCCUGCUAUGCUCAUGCAAAUGUAUUGAACAAGCUCAGCGUGCAUCCGAUGACUGCAUGAUUUCUGAGGUCUCUUCAUACAUCUGGAGCACUUGGCUGUUCAUUCAAGCUGUUAUAAAUAGCAAAAAACAGCAGCACAAAAUCAUUGAUGUUCAAGUCCAAAGCUUCACGUUUUGUCAAAACAACCACAAUCACUGUUAUGCAUGUUGUCACAAUCAUCAUACUAUCCAUUUGAAACGUUUACCAGAAACAGAAACAAAUGAGAAAUUUUAGUACUACAGUAUAAGAAAAAUGUGUGCAUCAAUAUGUUCAAGAUCUCUUUUAGUAGUGCCUCAGUGACACAAAAGCUUCAAUUGGAUAUAACUUCAUACACUUUUCUUAGGCACAGUAUAUUUCGUAUUAUGCAACAAAUUUGACCGAGUAAUGUUUCAUGCCACUAGAAUUGAAACAAAUUGAUGUCAGGCAGCAAAUGUGUUCACAAAAUGUGGUGGUAGAAAUGGUGUGGUCAUGGAGAAACAUGAAAGUAGCUCAUCCCACAAAGAAGACAUGCAAGUAUUUAAGUUUGAUUAAUAGCAUCAACUUCAUCUUGUGCUGCUGUUUUCAUAGGUCACAUCCAAGCUUGGCAAGUCAGCAGACAGUUUUGUCAGGGUAGGCAUGUCAGCUCACGACAGCUAUCCCCACGGCGCACUUUCAGUGCUGCAGUAUGCCUCAUAGGCGAUCAUGCAAGAAAUCUUGGAGUUGGGCUCGAUUGACAUAAGAAGCAACCAGCGGGUCUGCAGUCAACUUGCCAGCAA